rnacentral:lncRNA from 1 species
CCCACUGAGCCACCCGACACCCCUGUCAUUAUCUUUCUACACACUUCCUCUAUAGGGAAAAGCUUUGCCACUGGGUCCAUUCUGGGUGUUGCCUCUUUCACAACCUUCUUGUUUGUAUGACUCCCUCCAGCUUCAUCAUUCCAUCAUUUGCAUAAUUUAAGUCCAAUGUUCAUUGUGUGCUCACUAAAUGCACAUUCUGUCCACAGCUGUGGGACAGAAUACUUUCCCUUAGGAGGCUUUUUCAUUCCCCAGAUUUGUCUAAUUUUACCUUUGGAGGGAGCAGCACCAUACUGUAGGCUAUGAGCAGAAAAAAGUUAGAGACAGUGUGACCUGUAGAUGGAUCAUUUUCCUCCCUCAGAUGUGCCUACUAAGAGAGGGACUCUGACCACGCGCCGCCCCCCUCAUAAGGCUCCCAUCACAUGGGUUAGGAAAAGCCGACAUGUUCCGAUGACCACAGCCAUCUGGACCAGGGAUCAACCGCACCUGUGCCACACAGGCCAGCACAGCUCAGAUGCACACCAUGGGUCAACUGCGUCUGAGGAGGCAGAGACAAUAACACCAUGGACUCUCGAUCCAGAUCGCCGGUCAAAUCCUGCCUCUGCCCCUUAUCAGCUCUGACUUGUCACAAGUCAGUGAAGCUCUGCACAUCUCAGUUCUCUCCUCUUGAAAAUGGGAGAUGCUGAUAGCGUCGACAUCACGGUGUUGUUGUGAGAAAUAAAUGAGCUGUCAUGUGCAACGGCCACAGAACCCCCCCCCCCAGCAUACGGUGAGCAUCAAAAACUGUCUGCUUUAUUACUAUUUUUGAUCCAGAGAGUCAUGAAGAAAACCGUGUUUUCAGAUGGUUACUUUGGCCAAAAUUAUCCUGGAGCCAGGGAGAGAUGAGAG